UACGUAGGUGACAAGCGUUGUCCGGAUUUACUGGGCGUAAAGAGCGCGCAGGCGGUCGUUCAAGUCGAGUGUGAAAGCCCCCGGCUCAACUGGGGAGGGUCAUUCGAUACUGAUCGACUCGAAGGCAGGAGAGGGUAGUGGAAUUCCCGGUGUAGCGGUGAAAUGCGCAGAUAUCGGGAAGAACACCCGUGGCGAAGGCGGUUCUCUGGGACGGUACUGACGCUGAGACGCGAAAGCUAGGGGAGCAAACAGG
rnacentral:rRNA from 1 species